rnacentral:rRNA from 1 species
GACGAACGCUGGCGGCGUGCUUAACACAUGCAAGUCGAACGGAAAGACCCUGCUUUUGUGGGGUGCUCGAGUGGCGAACGGGUGAGUAACACGUGAGUAACCUGCCCUUGACUUUGUGAUAACUUCAGGAAACUGGGGCUAAUACCGGAUAGGAGCUCCUGCUGCAUGGUGGUGGUUGGAAAGAUUCGGCGGUGGUGGAUGGAUUCGCGGGUUAUCAGCUUGCUGGUGGGGUAGUGGCUUCCCAAGGCUUUGACGGGUAGCCGGCAUUAGAGGGUGACCACGGACAAUGGGCCUGCGAUACGGACCAGAAUCGAAUGGGCGGCAUCAGUGGGAAAUAUUGCAGAGUAGGCCGAAGCGUGAUGUAGCGACGUCGGGUGCGGAAUGCAGGGUUUUGAGUUAUAAACCACUUUCGAAUGUAACGAACAGUGAGUGACGGUAAUUAGUCAAGAAGCACCGGCUAACUACGUG